rnacentral:lncRNA from 1 species
GCUAGACAUACCAGUUAAUAACAACCAGUUCAUGCAAUUGCGCAAAUAAUUCAGCUCUGUAAGUAUAAUCUCUGAGUGUGUGUGUGUGUGUGUGUGUGUGUUUCAGCUCUCCUCAGUACCGGACUGUCUCUCUGGAGCAGGGCUCUGCUGGUCCGGGCUUCGGCACAGUGGGAGGGAGCUUCGGUGGAGGACGGCCGUCUGCAGUGUGGCGAUAGGCUGGUGUCAGUCAAUGGGCGGAGUCUAGAAGGCAUCACGCACGGACUCAGAGGUUGUGAAGAUCCUAUAAGGUGCCAGAGGCAUAAUCACACUUACUGUACUCCUGCACACUCACACCAAACCCUGAUAAAUAGGAAUUAUUUAUAUGGACAGAUACAGCUCUGAAAAAAAUUAAGAGACCACUUCAGUUUUGCUAUUUAUAGGUAUGUUUGAGUAAAAUGAACAUUGUUGUUUUAACUGGUUUUUAAUCAGUUUUCAUGCAUCUUUGCAUGUUCUCCUCCACCAGUCUUCCACACUGCUUUUGGAUAAAUUUAUGCCACUCCUGGUGGAAAAAGCACUUCAAGCAGUUCAGCUUGGUUUGAUGGCUUGUGAUCAUCUAUUGUCCUUUUGAUGUUUAAGUGGUCUCUUAUUUCUUUCCACAGCAGUAUAUAGUGUAACUUAGGGAUUUCAUGCCUGAUUGUAAAUAUUCCCUUUAAAUCAGCUUAUAAAAAAACAUUUAUAUAAAUUACAUUUUUUACUAUGUCCAGGUGUUUUUAGGCCUGUGUGAAGUUCGUUAAUACCAUGACUAUCCAAUUUUCACGAGACAGGAAUUUAGUAUUGUAAGCAGUGGAAGCUACAGAACACUGCACUGUCCUGUGGGAUGUGUUUUCACACCAUACCUACCAUCCACUGUGCUCCCUAAAUUCAGGGUUUUUGUUUUCUUUCAUUAUUUUAAUAUUAUUUGAAUACUAUAGUCACCCAAACUAUAAAGAAAAAACAUAUGGAAUUUUAUUAUUAAAUAAAAAAAGUGCACCAUCCCCUGAGGUAACA